UACGUAGGGUGCGAGCGUUGUCCGGAAUUAUUGGGCGUAAAGAGCUUGUAGGCGGUUUGUCGCGUCUGCUGUGAAAAUCCGAGGCUCAACCUCGGACUUGCAGUGGGUACGGGCAGACUAGAGUGUGGUAGGGGAGACUGGAAUUCCUGGUGUAGCGGUGGAAUGCGCAGAUAUCAGGAGGAACACCGGUGGCGAAGGCGGGUCUCGUGGG
rnacentral:rRNA from 1 species